UACGUAGGUGGCAAGCGUUGUCCGGAUUUAUUGGGUUUAAAGGGUGCGUAGGCGGCUAUUCAAGUCAAAGGUGAAAUCCCUCGGCUCAACUGAGGAACUGCCUUUGAAACUGGAUGGCUCGAGGCCGGGAGGGGGUAGCGGAAUUCCCAGUGUAGCGGUGAAAUGCGUAGAUAUUGGGAGGAACACCAGUGGCGAAGGCGGCUACCUGGACCGGUACUGACGCUGAUGCGCGAAAGCGUGGGUAGCAAACAGG
rnacentral:rRNA from 1 species